rnacentral:misc_RNA from 1 species
GUAGGUGAACCUGCGGAAGGAUCAUUAACACGUAUCCACGUUAUCAACUAACUCGGCACUUUAUGUUUUCACCCUAAGCCCAUCGAUGAUUAUACGCUUGCGUAUGAUGAUUCUUGGUACCUUCGUUCGCUCCUGGUCAACGUUUAGGCCUGACUGUUGCCGGAUGAUCCCACCCUACACUUACCCUAAUAACCCUCCUUACACUAGUUGUCUAUUUAUACUGUUGUGUAGUGGUUACGCUUGAAAACCGUACCCUUUACUCACACGUUAACUUAUCUGAACGUUAAAAUACAACUCUUAGCAAUGGAUAUCUUGGUUCUC